AGAGUUUGAUCCUGGCUCAGGACGAACGCUGGCGGCGUGCUUAACACAUGCAAGUCGAACGGGCUCUGUCUGGCUGUGUGCUGGGUGGGGUUAGUGGCGAACGGGUGAGUAAUACGUGAGUAACCUGCCCUCUUCUUUGGGAUAAGCCUUGGAAACGGGGUCUAAUACUGGAUAUUCCUGUCUGGUCGCAUGGCUGGGUGGGGAAAGUUUUUUCGGUGGGGGAUGGGCUCGCGGCCUAUCAGCUUGUUGGUGGGGUGAUGGCCUACCAAGGCGGUGACGGGUAGCCGGCCUGAGAGGGUGGACGGUCACACUGGGACUGAGACACGGCCCAGACUCCUACGGGAGGCAGCAGUGGGGAAUAUUGCACAAUGGGCGCAAGCCUGAUGCAGCGACGCCGCGUGAGGGAUGGAGGCCUUCGGGUUGUAAACCUCUUUCGCCAGUGAAGCAGGCCUGUCCCUUGUGGGUGGGUUGACGGUAGCUGGAUAAGAAGCGCCGGCUAACUACGUGCCAGCAGCCGCGGUAAUACGUAGGGCGCGAGCGUUGUCCGGAAUUAUUGGGCGUAAAGGGCUCGUAGGCGGCUUGUCGCGUCUGCUGUGAAAAUGCGGGGCUUAACUCCGUACGUGCAGUGGGUACGGGCAGGCUAGAGUGCGGUAGGGGUGACUGGAAUUCCUGGUGUAGCGGUGGAAUGCGCAGAUAUCAGGAGGAACACCGAUGGCGAAGGCAGGUCACUGGGCUGUUACUGACGCUGAGGAGCGAAAGCGUGGGGAGCGAACAGGAUUAGAUACCCUGGUAGUCCACGCCGUAAACG
rnacentral:rRNA from 1 species